AUUGAACGCUGGCGGCAUGCUUUACACAUGCAAGUCGAACGGGCUUAGGGGCUUGCUCCUAAGUUAGUGGCGAACGGUGAGUAAUACAUCGGAACGUACCGUGUAGUGGGGGAUAACGUAGCGAAAGUUACGCUAAUACCGCAUACGAUCUACGGAUGAAAGUGGGGGACCUUCGGGCCUCACGCUAUACGAGCGGCCGAUGUCUGAUUAGCUAGUUGGUGAGGUAAAGGCUCACCAAGGCAACGAUCAGUAGCGGGUCUGAGAGGAUGAUCCGCCACACUGGGACUGAGACACGGCCCAGACUCCUACGGGAGGAGCAGUGGGGAAUUUUGGACAAUGGGCGAAAGCCUGAUCCAGCCAUGCCGCGUGUCUGAA
rnacentral:rRNA from 1 species